rnacentral:rRNA from 1 species
AACUCUGAGCAACGGAUGACUCGGCUCACGCUUCGGUGAAGAACGCAGCCAGCUGCGAGACUUGGUAUAAAUUAAAAGACACUUUGAGCACAAAAUUUUCGAACACGCAUUGCUGUCUCGAGUGAUACCCAGGACCUCGCCUAUCUGAAGGUCU